rnacentral:miRNA from 1 species
CAGUGCGGCGGGCGGAGCUUCCAAACGCCCCGCCUCCCGCUCCGCCCCACGUCGCAUGCGACCCGGGAACGCGUGGGGCGGAGCUUCCGGACGCCCCGCCCUGCUA